rnacentral:lncRNA from 1 species
GGAGGAGGUGGCUCAUCAUCUGGAUGGGAUCCAUUGCUCCUUCAUUCCUCUGGCCCCUCGUCCACGCGCGCGUCCGCCCUCCGCACCGAGGCACUCAGGGGCAGCCGGAAUCCUUCCACCGCAUCCCUCGCCCCUCCUUGGCCGAGGUAAGCUGCUCUUUGAUUUGUGUAAGGAACAAUGCGAUACCGAUGCACACGCACCCCAAUUUUCAGGUCUAACAAUUUGGUUUGAUAUUACCACUAUGCAAGUUUAACAUCUCCAGGGCGUUGACUCAUAUAGUCGGGCUUAAAGUACUUUUAGUAUAGGAGUAUUACUCCACAUUGUUAGGUGUAGCUGUGUAGGGAUAGAAAUUAGCCAAGACAAAACAAAAGUUCCUGUCAUGAGCUUUAUUUACUAUGGGUUGAACCACAUUAUACAUACACUACAAACAUAGAUUUACCAGUGAAGUGGAAGACAAUUCACAACAUAACACGGCUGCAACCAAGAAAAAAAAUCCUUAUGUAGAGCAAACAAGACGUAAGCCGUCAUGAACCAGCAACAUGUGAGCAAUGAAACAGCUCUACUUCUGCUCAGCCCUGGAGUGCUGAAAAUGCUUCUUUGAUCGCGAUGACCUCAAUGUAAACAUCCUGCAUUGCGGGGCGAUCUUUAGGUAUCUCCGCGGCGCACAGGAGGCCAAUCUUAACGAGCUCGAUGAUGCAGCUCAUUAUUCCAGCCAUUUGAUGAUGAUUUUCCUGGCCUAAAGUACCUCCUGCUUCUUCGUCUUGGUCCCCAUAAUAUGGAGCGAUUCUAGGAUCAAGAAUCUCGCCAAUCUUUUCUGGAAAUGAUUUUUUGACAAAUUUGUAAAGGCUCAGGCCAUCUUUAAAGAUCUCAUCAGUUGGGCGCUUUCCUGUGAGCAUUUCUAAGACGAUGACUCCAAAACUGUAGACAUCACCCUCAGUGGAGAUUUUGCUCCCAAAGCCAUAUUCUGCAAUAUGUGUAGUUAUUGAAACCGUUAAUUAAUACAACAUAAUUUGACCACAUGAAUCAAAGGUUUUCUGUGGAAAAGAAAGUAAAAUUUUCAUAUCCACAAGAGCCUACAAGUUAUUCUCGAAAAAUGUACCAUGCUCAGUUGAGAAAAUUGUUACCUGGUGCAAUGUAUCCAACUGAUCCUCUUGGUCCCACUAAGCUUGUAGAACCACCGAUGCUCGAAUAAGAAUAAUUGCGUAGGAACUUAGCCAAUCCGAAGUCACCAACACAUGCGCCCAUGACGUCAUUUAGAAGGACAUUGCUGGGCUUCAGAUCACAAUGGACCAUAGGAGGCAUGCAGUUGUUAUGAAGGUAAUCCAAAGCAGCAGCUAUGUCCACUGCUAUUGCUAGUCUUGAAUAUAAACUCAAUGGCCUUCUCAGGUGAUGCUCGUGGAAUGUUGGAUAGAGCCAACUUUCGAGGUCGCCAUUUACCUUAUAUUCAAGAACAAGAGCUUUGAACUCAUUUCCUGUUGGAUCACUUGUUGAGCAUACAGUGAUCACCCGUACAAGAUUACGAUGACGCGUGUUUCUCAGGGCCUCACACUCAUCGAGGAAGCUCUUUGUUGCUCCAAGUUGAUCAAGUUUGAAAACUUUGAUAGCAACUUCAUGUACUUCGGACUCAAUUCUACCUUUGUACACGGACCCAUAUUUUCCUGAACCAACCAAGUUGUCUAAAGAGAAACCAUUUGCUGCUUUCAAUAAAUCAGCAUAUGUAAACUUCUGUAACUUUUCAAAGGAUGGAUGAGCUGCUUGUGUGACUUUCUUUCUCUUUUUCCAAAUAAUUACUCCGAAGCAUGAUACCAGGACCAAAAAAAGAGCAGUAAAUCCUACUAUCUUUAAGAUGUUGGAGGUGUGCCUUUGUUUGGAUGUUUCUGCAUUGCAAAGUGGCAACUGUAGCAAUGGGGUGCUCCACAUAGCUUCUUGUUUCCUUGAAUGAACACAUUGCUUCCAUUCUGAAAUAUUCCAUCUGCAGGUACUGAUCCUUCGAGGUUGUUGAAGGACAAAUUGAGAAGCUUCAUAGACUUGAAGAGCUUCAAGAAUUCAGGGAUUUCACCUGUUAAGUUGUUCUGAGAUAGGUCCAUCACAGUGAUGCCUCUCAAAUUCACAAAAGAUUGAGGGAUUCUUCCAUGAAGAUGGUUGCCCUCCAUGUGGAGUGACUCCAAUUGGACGCACUGACCCAGAGUAGAUGGUAUCUGACCAGACAGUUGGUUAUAGGAGAUAUUCAGUGGACCGAGAUUGAUCAACUCGCCAAUCUCCAUUGGUAUUUCUCCAGAGAGUUGGUUGUGAGACAAGUCCAAACCUUCAGAAAGGUCGGAAAGAGUAAAGAGCUCCUUUGGUAUGCUUCCGUUGAAGCUGUUACAAGAGAGGUUCAAUAUGUGCAGUUUUUUGCAGUCUCCUAAAGCUCCUGGGAUUGGGCCACUCAAACUGUUUUCUUGUAAGUAAAGCUCACUCAAUUGACUCAAAUUACCAACUGAAAGUGGGAUCUGUCCAGAAAAUUUGUUCUGGGACAAGCUUAAGACAAACAAGUUGGGAAGAUUUCCAAUUGAUUCAGGAAGAUUCCCGGUAAGCAAAUUCCGUUCCAUGUAAAGAAGCUUGAGGCCUGUGAGGUGCUCUAUCUCAUGUGGUAUGGUGCCAGAAAUUUUAUUUGAUCUUAGUAACAGUACCUCUAUGCUCUUUGAAAGGCCUGCAACGGCACUCGGCAAGACUCCUUGAAGGAUUUUUACAUCCAAGCGUAAGUUCACCAGUUGUGUGCAAUUUGUCAACGAGGAUAGGAAAGACCAGUCUCCUGCUUCAAGUUGAUUCUUGCCUAGAUUCAGAUCGACUAGGCUGGGUAAAGUCCCAAAAGAUGGAAUGCUGCCAUAGAAUGCAUUAUUGCGGAGGUUGAUCACCUGGAGAUUGGCUGUGUUUGCUAGUGAAGUGGGGAUUUGGCCUUGGAACCAGUUUCCUUGCAUAAUCAAAGUUUGGAUGCUUGGAAGGGUAUAUCCAAUGUUGUGUGGAAGCUCCCCUACAAGAUUGUUUGUAGCCAUGCCAAGGUAUGAGAGUGCUGACAUGUUGUAAAGAGAGGCUGGGACACUCCCUGUCAAAAAGUUAUAAGUGAUGUCUAGUAUUUCCAGGUUUUGAAUUUCAUCUAUACUCAUGGGGAUGUUACCUUCGAAAUUAUUAUCUCCAAGCAAGAGCCAGCGAAGGGACGAAAAGUUCCCUAUAAAGGAAGGUAUGGUGCCAGAAAGAUUAUUUGAUUGCAAGAUAAGAUACUGCAAGGGUGAGUCAAUGUUCAACAAGGCUGGUAUGGACCCAGCAAAGCUGUUUGUUCCCAGUAAUAACUUUUGAAGUGACGUACUGUUAAACAGUGCAGGAGGAAUCUCUCCACUCAGGUGAUUGUUUGAUAAGGCCAAAAGUUGAAGUGAGGAACUAUUAGCUAGGAGAGGCGGGAUAGGUCCUGUGAGGCUAUUGUUCGUGAGAACAACAGAGUGAAGAGAAGAGCUGCUUCCAAGUGAACGUGGAAUGCUGCCCGUCAGACUAUUUGUAGCAAGACGUAAAACUGCAAGGUUUCGGAGCAUCCCCAACCCUUCUGGGAUACCUCCACUGAGCUUGUUGUGACCCAAACUGAGCUGCUGCAUAUCUGAGCAUUGGCUCAGGCUUGGGGGGAUCACACCAUCAAGGGAGUUGCUUCCAAGAUCAAUAGCUUGAAGGUGAACGCAUGAAGACAGAGUGCUUGGGAUCCUGCCAGUAAGAUUGUUUGUGCUGAGGUUAAGGUACCACAGCCUAUUUAGUUGCCCAAGUUCAGGUGGUAUUUGGCCAGUAAGUUGAUUGUUGGGGAUGUGGAUUUUUGUGAGGAAAGUGAGAUUGCCGAUACAUGGUGGUAUCUGUCCAUCGAGGUCAAGUGACUCGAGGUCCAGUGCAGUGACACGAGAUGCAUGUCUCUUGCUGCAAGUAACACCGGACCAACUGCAGAAUUGCAGUGAGUCAUUUUUCCAUGAGGCCAGGAGUCUAGCAGAGGUCGUGAGAUGGAGUUUAAGGCAGCGGAGAGCAUGGAGGUCGGUGUUAGAAUCAUUUUGGGGUGCUAUAGAAUCUAAUGAAGAUGCAUAAACAAGGGAGCAGAGGACAAGGACCAGGGGAAGUGAGGAACUGAGAGUGCCCAGAGCCUGAGUAGACAUGUAAUUUCUAUCACACACGCUUCGACAGUUUAGUUGAGGAACGGACUGACGACCGGUCAAGCUCGUGGAACAAGAAGGCAAUGGAGAACUCACUUGAGAGCUGCAAUGCGCUGUGGUCGUCCUCUCGCGACACCCCGGGAUGGAGUUUGAGGCACUGAAGGGCUUGCAAGUCGGUCUGAGGAUCAUUCUGCAGCGCUGCAGCACCUAAUGAAGGCGGCCUUGUGUUGAAUAAUCAACCAGGCCUUCAGCCAAUCAAGCAUCAGUUUAGAUUAUUCUUCCAAUUCAACUUUGAGAUGGUCAAAUUACAUGAUGGUCAAACGGACAUUCAUAUUUAUAUUCUACUGUACUGUACUGUGUGAAGACGUACUCAAGGCACCACUUGCUGGUGGGGGUUGGAAGUUGGAGUCCAAACUACAUAAUGAUGCAUGAAUUAAGGAAUCCAAAUAAGACCAUUUCAACUCAGUCACUUAAACUCCCUAAAUGCUAUACUAUAGGAGUCCAAACUCGCCUAAAAAUAAUCUUCCAACAAGCUGCAUAUUACCAGUUCAAACUCGGUGAGCACGCGCGUUGUUGCUCUCUCUUCCUCAUGCUACAAUAGGAGUAGAACAUCACAUUGGUGUUUCUCAAUCUCCACUAGCAAUGUGGAGCUAAACUCUGUGCAUAGAACAACCAGCCAUUGGGUUGGGUUAGGUGGGGGUGGUGUCCGGACUGAUGCGGGAGGUUUGAGGAUCGGCGUUGGAGAUGCCCUAAGGCGCCGAUUUGUACAACUAUUGAACCAAAUUGCACAUCCAGGACAGGGAAUCCACUUCCACACGUAUGUCAGCAUGUCAACUGGCAUGCCUCUGAGACUUGGAACGAAUAGAUCACAAGAGCGAAAGAGACAUUUCUAAUGAAUGAUGUGGACUGAACAACAGUCGACAGAAGCAAGAUCUCGGGCUCUUAACUUGGCGAAGAUCCAUGCAGACUUUUCCGUGCCAUAUGCGAUAAGAGGCGACGAAGUCCGGGGUGGUUGCACCCUAAGUCACUCUCAUGAUCCACAGGUUACAGUCAACGAAGAUUUUAAUUCUCCCUAUCUUCUGGCCGCCCCAGUCAGCAGAGUUCAUCAUGAUCUUUCUCCCCCAAGAAAGAAAGGCAUACCUUUUGGAGCGUUAUAUAUAGGUGCUGAAAGCAUUGCGGCAUGGCAACUCACGGAGGAGCGCGUCGCCAAUCCGGGAAGAUGCUGCCCGACUGUCGCCGCCUGCUUGCUCGGCUUCUCGCCCUCCUCGCGCUGCUGCUGCUGAUCGUCGGUGUACAUGGCCGUAUAGGAUUGAACUGCGGCAGUCGUAAGUAUGCCGUGCAUUCGUUGUUCUUUUAACUUCCCACGCCUGCAUGUCGUGUUGAGAAUACGUCCUAGUAUACUCUCUUUUCAGAUGGCCUGAUGUGGAGUACUACUUUGAACAUCGUCGCAGAGAACCCAAACGGCUGCACAGGUCUGCCCUCUCCAGACUGUCCAGACUGUGGAUAGCAGCAGGUCUCCCUCCGAAGCAUAUGCCGACGCCGAUGACAUCUCAGGAUGUUCUGUAUCGUUCUACAAGAGUUGAUUUUGUUUCUGUAUGGUAGUAAGAGAGAUAUGAAGGUCACAAUCAUUUGCUUGCUUACGGAAUGUUAGGGAAACAAGGAUAGCUGAAUAUAAGACACAAUUCAUCAAUGAGCUUGCGUUGUGAAUACUAUUACUCGGUCCCAUGAUGUAAGACGUUUUUGCAGACUAUAACAUGGCUUGCAAAAACAUCUUACAUUAUAAGACGGAGGGAAUAAAAGGCAUUUACAAUGACUAGUUGCCUUGCAAAAACAUCUUACAUUAUAAGACGGAGAGAGUAAAAGGCAUUUACAAUGACUAGUUGAGUGCCCGUGCUUUGCCACAGAACACCAAAGUUAUAUGUCGCUCAUCAUAAUUGCUGGCUGCAGUCUCUAAUCCAACCUUG